GACAGAGGGGGCAAGCGUUGCUCGGAAUUACUGGGCGUAAAGGGUGCGUAGGCGGCCGUGCAAGUCUGGCGUGAAAGCCCCGGGCUUAACCUGGGAAUGGCAUUGGAAACUGGCGAGCUGGAGUGUGGCAGAGGGGGGUGGAAUUCCGCGUGUAGCAGUGAAAUGCGUAGAGAUGCGGAGGAACACCGAUGGCGAAGGCAGCCCCCUGGGCUGACACUGACGCUCAGGCACGAAAGCGUGGGGAGCAAACAGG
rnacentral:rRNA from 1 species